AUUGAACGCUGGCGGCAGGCCUAAUACAUGCAAGUCGAACGAGUGGCGGACGGGUGAGUAAUGUCUGGGAAACUGCCUGAUGGAGGGGGAUAACUACUGGAAACGGUAGCUAUUACCGCAUACCAUCGGAUGUGCCCAGAUGGGAUUAGCUAGUAGGUGGGGUAAAGGUUCACCUGGGCGACGACCCCUAGCUGGUCUGAGAGGAUGACGAGCCACACUGGAACUGGGCCAGGGUCCGGACUCCUACGGGAGGAUGCAGUGGGAAGUAUUGCACAAGGGGCGCAAGCCUUAUGCAGCCAGGCCGGGUGUAUGAAGAAGGCCUUCGGGUUGUAAAGUACUUUCAGCGGGGAGACGUUACCCGCAGAAGAAGCACCGGCUAACUCCGUGCCAGCAGCCGCGGUAAUUC
rnacentral:rRNA from 1 species